rnacentral:rRNA from 1 species
UGAGACACGGCCCAGACUCCUACGGGAGGCAGCAGUAGGGAAUCUUCCGCAAUGGACGAAAGUCUGACGGAGCAACGCCGCGUGAGUGAUGAAGGUUUUCGGAUCGUAAAGCUCUGUUGUUAGGGAAGAACAAGUGCGAGAGUAACUGCUCGCACCUUGACGGUACCUAACCAGAAAGCCACGGCUAACUACGUGCCAGCAGCCGCGGUAAUACGUAGGUGGCAAGCGUUGUCCGGAAUUAUUGGGCGUAAAGGGCUCGCAGGCGGUUUCUUAAGUCUGAUGUGAAAGCCCCCGGCUCAACCGGGGAGGGUCAUUGGAAACUGGGAAACUUGAGUGCAGAAGAGGAGAGUGGAAUUCCACGUGUAGCGGUGAAAUGCGUAGAGAUGUGGAGGAACACCAGUGGCGAAGGCGACUCUCUGGUCUGUAACUGACGCUGAGGAGCGAAAGCGUGGGGAGCGAACAGGAUUAGAUACCCUGGUAGUCCACGCCGUAAACGAUGAGUGCUAAGUGUUAGGGGGUUUCCGCCCCUUAGUGCUGCAGCUAACGCAUUAAGCACUCCGCCUGGGGAGUAC